rnacentral:rRNA from 1 species
UGGAUUAAGAGCUUGCUCUUAUGAAGUUAGCGGCGGACGGGUGAGUAACACGUGGGUAACCUGCCCAUAAGACUGGGAUAACUCCGGGAAACCGGGGCUAAUACCGGAUAACAUUUUGAACCGCAUGGUUCGAAAUUGAAAGGCGGCUUCGGCUGUCACUUAUGGAUGGACCCGCGUCGCAUUAGCUAGUUGGUGAGGUAACGGCUCACCAAGGCAACGAUGCGUAGCCGACCUGAGAGGGUGAUCGGCCACACUGGGACUGAGACACGGCCCAGACUCCUACGGGAGGCAGCAGUAGGGAAUCUUCCGCAAUGGACGAAAGUCUGACGGAGCAACGCCGCGUGAGUGAUGAAGGCUUUCGGGUCGUAAAACUCUGUUGUUAGGGAAGAACAAGUGCUAGUUGAAUAAGCUGGCACCUUGACGGUACCUAACCAGAAAGCCACGGCUAACUACGUGCCAGCAGCCGCGGUAAUACGUAGGUGGCAAGCGUUAUCCGGAAUUAUUGGGCGUAAAGCGCGCGCAGGUGGUUUCUUAAGUCUGAUGUGAAAGCCCACGGCUCAACCGUGGAGGGUCAUUGGAAACUGGGAGACUUGAGUGCAGAAGAGGAAAGUGGAAUUCCAUGUGUAGCGGUGAAAUGCGUAGAGAUAUGGAG